rnacentral:rRNA from 1 species
CCUUGUACACACCGCCCGUCACACCAUGGGAGUUGGUUUUACCUGAAGCGGUGCGCUAACCCGCAAGGGAGGCAGCCGACCACGGUAGGGUCAGCGACUGGGGUG